rnacentral:snRNA from 1 species
GGAUGUGAGGGCGAUCUGGCUGCGACAUGUCACCCCAUUGACCGCCAGGGUUGAUUCGGCUGACCUGGCUGGCUAGGCGGGGGUCCCCUUCCUCCCUCACUGCUCCAUGUGCGUCCCUCCCGAAGUUGCUCCCUCGGUGGAAGAGGACGACCAACCCCGAUAGAGGAGGACCGUUUCCUUGGUCAAGGGUAUCCAAGUAGCUGCGCUCCCCUGCCAGAACCUCCAAACAAGCUCUCAUCUCAUUUAGUCUUCAUAGCCAGGUAGGAAGUGCUAUUCCCAUUUUAGUCAUGAAAACACUGGGCUCAAAGAGAAGCAACUGCAGCGCACACCUGU